UACGUAGGAUGCAAGCGUUGUCCGGAAUUACUGGGCGUAAAGGGCGAGCAGGUGGCACUACAAGUCUGAUGUAAAAUCUCCCGGCUUAACUGGGAGGGGCCAUUGGAAACUGUAGAGCUGGAGUGCAGGAGAGGCUAACGGAAUUCCCGGUGUAGUGGUGAAAUGCGUAGAUAUCAGGAGGAACACCUGUGGCGAAAGCGGCUCACUGGACAAGUAUUGACGCUGAGGUGCGAAAGCGUGGGGAGCAAACAGG
rnacentral:rRNA from 1 species